AUAUUAUUGAUAGUUUCUAAACUUACAACGUGAUACUGGUGGUAGUAAGAUAAAGUGGAUAAAGUCGGGUAAGGCCACACAAAAAAAUAGAAAAAAACCCAAAACCCUCAGAUACUACAGUACAUCAUGCUGUACUAUUUUUUUUUUCCCCACAAUGGAAAGCCUGAAUAUAUUCUUUAUUUUCAAAUGUCAGAAUAGAAUAGAUGGAGCCAGUACCAUUGUGCAAUAAAGACCGUAGUGUGGCUGCACUUAGUAAAUCAGCCAUGAAUUCGACGUGUACAGCCCCAUUCUGGCAAGUCACCACACCGGUUAUUCUUGAAGCAUCUUGUUAACUACUAGUUUAAAACAGGGCGCUCCCAAAGAGGCAUUCACUAACACCAACUCCAACCUUCGUCGUUUUUACUACCGUGCAAAAAAGUGCUUAGAAAAUACAACUUCUAUGGAAAUGUGUUUGUGGUUUUAAAACAACAAGGGGCGGAACUCACGUGGGGUUUAAACUGGAGGCAGUUAAUAGACAUAGAGCUCACAUACCCGAGGGGACUUGAUCGCAGCACGACGUACAGUGCUCUGCGAUUGCCUGGCGACCAGUCCAGGACAUGUCCCACCUCUCACAGGAAGCCAGCUGGGAUAGCCUCCACCUCACCUGCGACCCGAAUGAUGCAGGCAUGCCGCGUAGGCUCAGCGGAAGGUACCAGAAGCAUACGUUGGUGUGCUGUGGCUGAUAAGAGAAGGACCAUUUGUAAUAAAAGCUGAUAUGCACUCACAAUGACACAUGAGGUACCCUGUUCUAAUCUGAUGAAGCAAGAGCUGUAACAGAAACACCCAAUUUUGCUCUAGAAGAGGGGCAAAAAAUUUAGAAUCACUCCUCAGUAAGAUGCUGUUCUACAAAUAAUGUAUCUUUCUUCAUCUAUCUAUGCCAGCGACAUAUAGCAACAGGUAAAAUAAUUAAAUGCUCUCCCACUGGAUGGCAGAAGGUACAAGUAACCAUACAACAGAAUGGAAGCUUUCUGUUUAACUAAACAUACCCAGAUUUCACACUCAGUCAGUUUGUGAAUAAAUUGAGAAAAAAUUA